rnacentral:rRNA from 1 species
UCGGGAAUAUUGCGCAAUGGAGGAAACUCUGACGCAGUGACGCCGCGUGCAGGAAGAAGGUUUUCGGAUUGUAAACUGCUUUAGACAGGGAAGAAACAAGACAGUACCUGUAAAAUAAGCUCCGGCUAACUACGUGCCAGCAGCCGCGGUAAUACGUAGGGAGCAAGCGUUAUCCGGAUUUAUUGGGUGUAAAGGGUGCGUAGACGGGAAGACAAGUUGGUUGUGAAAUCCCUCGGCUUAACCGAGGAACUGCAACCCAAAACUAUCUUUCUUGAGUGUUGGAGAGGAAAGUGGAAUUCCUAGUGUAGCGGUGAAAUGCGUAGAUAUUAGGAGGAACACCAGUGGCGAAGGCGACUUUCUGGACAAUAACUGACGUUGAUGCACGAAAGUGUGGGGAGCAAACAGGAUUAGAUACCC